UUUCCUGCUAAGACAGGGAGGACCUAUCUGUGGACCCUGGACUCACCACUGGCCCCUGGGGGACUUGGCAUCUAAGAGAAGAGAGAGCAGAGGACAGGGCACAUGUGCCAAUGGGAGGAGCCUGCCAGCCUUCCCACCUCUGUUCCCCUUUGCAUUCUUGGCCUUACAACAAACAGCACUUCCUGUGGUUAUUCUCUUGGCUGUGUCCUGUCCCCACCUCCGUUCUCACCAGUGGAGUGCUGAGAUUACAGAUGUUCGUUCAUGCCUUACCUAUGUCACAGGGAACUGAAGGCAGCACGCUUGUAUGACAGACCUAGUACCCCAUUGAGCCAUCUCAUCUGUCUCUCCAUCCAUCCACCCACCUACCUUUCUGUUUUUCUCUUGGUGGUCUCAGGGUUAUUCUUUCCCAAUCAGCAAGGACCCCAGCACUCCUACAGUGAGAAGCGAGAAGGCUUGCUAUGCUGGACCACACAAUGGAAACAAGAUGGGCCCUGUCUCAGCAAGGGAAGAGAGAACAGACUCCCAAAGUUGUCCUCUGACCGCCACAGCCAUGCCAAGGCACACUCACCUGCACGACAAGCACACGGAAUUGGUUAAUGUUUUAAUUGGAGAGAUGGCUGAGUUGAUAAAACGCCUGAGGACCUGAGUUUGACUCCCCAGCAUCAGGGUCAAGAUGUAGAACUCUGGCUCCUCCAUCACCAAGUCUGCCUGCACGCUGCCAUGCUUCCUGCCAUGAUGAUAAUGGACUAAACCUCCGAAACGGAAUGGAAGCCCUAACUAAGAUGUUCAUGAAAACCGGUAUCAAACUUGCUGAAUACAUCUGAAGAUCUAUGUUCCAUCCUUGGAGCCCACAGUGAAAGGAGAGAACCGACUCCUGAAAGCUGACCUCUGACCUCCACCGAUGCACCGGGGCAUGACACAGGAGGCUGAGGCAGGUGGAUCGCCAGGAGUUCCAAGGCCAGCCUGAUCUACAGAGUAAGUAUCAAGACAGUCAGGGAUAUACAGAAAAAUCCUGUCUCAAAAAACAAACAACAAACAAACAAAAAGGAAGGGGCUAGAGAGAAAGCUUAAUAAGAAUAUAUAGGGGGCUUGAGUGGUUACUGUUUAUAAUGAGCAUGGUUUAAAAAAAUGCCUUUUAGACAUGUAAAAAUAGCUUAGUCAGGAUCUCCACUACACGCAAGGCACACCCGAUAACCAGAACUCAGUGAUAUCACUCACUCAAGAUAACCAGACACAGUUCUUGAAUACCAUGAUGCCCACUGGACAGUAUUUAAGCAAGGACAAGAACCAUGCUCUGCUCUGCACAUCUGGAGAGAUGCCACCUUGAUCUGCUCCCCCCAGGAUCCGGACCCUCAAAUCAGAGACUUCCAUUAGAGACUGGACCUAAUUUUCAGCUAAGAUAUGUCACAGGUGAGCAGCCUUGAGAAGAUAGGCUAAGGACCAAAGUUAGUAAUUUAGAGUGUGAACAUUUGUGAUAAUAAAAUAUAAAUUUUGUUAUACUAGUUACGUGAAUCUAUCUUCAUGCUUGCGACACUGCUCUUCUACAGGACCUGAGUUCAAUUCCCAGCACCCACAAGACAGCUUACAACCAUGGUUCCAAGGGAAUGCAGCGCCCUCUUCUGAUUUCUACAGGCACUACACCCAUGCAAUACACAGACAUGCCAGUGAAAUACCCGUACAUAUAAAAUAAGAAUAUAUAUGGGGCUUGAGGGAUGGCUCAGGAGUUAAGAACCCUGGCUGCUUUUCCAGAGGACCUGGGUUCAAUUCCUAGUUAGCAUCAACAUGGUCACUUACAUCUAUCUAUAACUCCAGUUACAGGGGUCUGACACCUUCUGACACUUCCUCCUCCCGAAAGUCCUAUCCCUGGCCAGGACCAGAAAGCACUCUAUUCAUCUGGCUCCUGAAUCCUGAUCCAGGAAGAAGGGGAAGCUGGGACUAUGCAGAAGAAGAGACCAAAUCCACAGUGACAUGGAUCCCAUGGGAGAGCCCGGCUUGUGCUAUCCCUCACCAGGUACGCUCGGGGAAGUGAGGAGAAGGGACAAAAGAGAAUAGCAUCUAGGAGCCAGAAUCCUAUUCAUAAUUUCCAGCCUCGGAAUGGGCGUAUGGCCUACACUUUUAAUCCCAGAGGCAAAGACAGGAAGAGAGAGCUCUGAAUUGAAGAUCAGCUUGCUUUAUAUUGUGAAUUCCAAGCCAUUCGGGGCUAUAUAGAACCUGUCUAUAAAAAUGUUUAAAUUGGCUUGGCCUGGUAGCCCAUGCCUUUAAUCCCAGUGCCGGGAAGGCAGAGGUAGGCUGGUCUUUGAGUUCAAGGCCAGCCUGAUCUCCGAAGGGAGUUCUAGGACAGCCAGGGACAUUACAGAGAGAAACCAUGUGUCGGAAAACCAAAAAUAAAAUAAAAUAAUAAAAAUUAAACACAUUCCUAUU
rnacentral:lncRNA from 1 species